ensembl:lncRNA
AUCAGACCAGAGACCAGACCAGAGACCAGACCAGAGACCAGACCAGAGACCAGGGACCAGAGACCAGACCAGAGACCAGAGACCAGAGACCAGAGACCAGACCAGAGACCAGACCAGAGACCAGAGACCAGAGACCAGACCAGAGACCAGAGACCAGACCAGAGACCAGACCAGAGGCCAGAGACCAGAGACCAGAGACCAGAGACAAGAGACCAGAGAUCAGAGACCAGAGAUCAGAGACCAGAGACAAGAGACCAGACCAGAGACCAGACCAGAGACCAGACCAGAGACCAGAGACCAGACCAGAGACCAGAGACCAGAGAUCAGAGACCAGAGACCAUAGACCAGACCAGAGACCAGACCAGAGACAAGACCAGUGACCAGACCAGAGAUCAGACCAGAGACCAGGGACCAGAGACCAGAGACCAGACAAGACCAGAGACCAGACCAAAGACCAGACCAGAGACCAGGGACCAGACCAGAGACCAGACCAGACCAGAGACCAGAGACCAGAGGCCAGAGGCCAGAGGCCAGAGGCCAGAGGCCAGAGACCAGACCAGAGACCAGAGACCAGAGACCAGACCAGAGACCAACUCCAGAGACCAGAGGGCUGGUCUCUGGAGCUGGUCUCUGGCGCUGGUCUCUGGAGCUGGUCUCUGGAGCUGGUCUUUGGAGCUGGUCUCUGGAGCUGGUCUCUGGAGCUGGUCUCUGGCGCUGGUCUCUGGUCUGGUCUCUGGAGCUGGUCUCUGGUCUGGUCUCUGGUCUGGUCUCUGGAGCUGGUCUCUGGAGCUGGUCUUUGGAGCUGGUCUCUGGAGCUGGUCUCUGGAGCUGGUCUCUGGAGCUGGUCUCUGGAGCUGGUCUUUGGAGCUGGUCUCUGGCGCUGGUCUCUGGAGCUGGUCUCUGGAGCUGGUCUCUGGAGCUGGUCUCUGGAGCUGGUCUUUGGAGCUGGUCUCUGGAGCUGGUCUUUGGAGCUGGUCUCUGGAGCUGGUCUCUGGCGCUGGUCUCUGGAGCUGGUCUUUGGAGCUGGUCUCUGGAGCUGGUCUCUGGAGCUGGUCUUUGGAGCUGGUCUCUGGCGCUGGUCUGUGGAGCUGGUCUCUAGCGCUGGUCUCUGGCGCUGGUCUCUGGCGCUGGUCUCUGGAGCUGCCUCAUGGAGCUGCUGACAGCCCCACCGAUGCCAGCAGCUCCGUCAGUUGGGCCCUGUGUUUUCAGGAGAGACCAACAGAUCUAGGAGCAGCCCCACCUUUAGGGAGUGAGCGUGUGAGCGGGUCGACAAUGGACAGGAAGGUCCUCUUGUUAAAGCACAGAACCCGUCCACCACCAUCCCACGCUACCUCCUGGUUCGUUUGA